AACUUCUGAAUGUUGACCUCGGAUCAGGUAGGAAUACCCGCUGAACUUAAGCAUAUCAAUAAGCGGAGGAAAAGAAACCAACAGGGAUUGCCCUAGUAACGGCGAGUGAAGCGGCAACAGCUCAAAUUUGAAAUCUGGCUCUCGGGCCCGAGUUGUAAUUUGUAGAGGAUGACUUUGAUGCGGUGCCUUCCGAGUUCCCUGGAACGGGACGCCAUAGAGGGUGAGAGCCCCGUCUGGUUGGAUGCCAAAUCUCUGUAAGUCUCCUUCGACGAGUCGAGUAGUUUGGGAAUGCUGCUCUAAAUGGGAGGUAUAUGUCUUCUAAAGCUAAAUACCGGCCAGAGACCGAUAGCGCACAAGUAGAGUGAUCGAAAGAUGAAAAGCACUUUGAAAAGAGAGUUAAAAAGUACGUGAAAUUGUUGAAAGGGAAGCGUUUAUGACCAGACUUG
rnacentral:rRNA from 1 species